rnacentral:tRNA from 1 species
CUUAUAUUUAAAAUAAUAAAAUUUAUUUUGCAAAUAAAAAUUGAAUAUUUCUGCAUAAGA